rnacentral:misc_RNA from 1 species
GAAAUGCGAUAAGUAAUGUGAAUUGCAGAAUUCAGUGAAUCAUCGAAUCUUUGAACGCACAUUGCGCCCCCUGGUAUUCCGGGGGGCAUGCCUGUCCGAGCGUCAUUACUGCCCUCAAGCGCGGCUUGUGUGUUGGGCCCUCGCCCCUCUCCGGGGGCGUGCCCGAAAGGCAGUGGCGGCGCCGUGCCCGGUCCUCGAGCGUAUGGGGCUUCGUCACCCGCUCUGGAGGCCAGGCCGGCCGCCGCCGACACCACCCAGACCUUCAACCGGUUGACCUCGGAUCAGGCAGGGAUACCCGCUGAACUUAA